rnacentral:rRNA from 2 species
GACGUAGGAUGCAAGCGUUGUCCGGAUUUAUUGGGCGUAAAGAGUUCGUAGGCUGUUUGUUAAGUCUGGUGUUAAAGACUGAGGCCCAACCUCGGAAAUGCAUCGGAUACUGGCAGACUUGAGUACGGUAGAGGCGAGUGGAAUUCCCAGUGUAGCGGUGAAAUGCGUAGAUAUUGGGAAGAACACCGGUGGCGUAGGCGACUCGCUGGGCCGCAACUGACGCUGAGGAACGAAAGCCAGGGGAGCGAAUGGG